AAAUAAGAAACAAAUACUUGUAUUUAGUUUCGACCUAAAAUUUUGAUGAUACAUAAUUCAUCCUUAUUUA
rnacentral:tRNA from 1 species